ensembl:lncRNA
GAUUAAGUGGUGGACGUCCAUAGAGGAGAGGUGAGUUAGAAACAUGCACAGUGUCACGUAGGUGAUGAGUGUUUUGUGUGUCUCUUUAUUGCGGUGACUUGUUUUGAUCACUUGUAUGUUUGAUUGAUUGCUUUGUGACACAUUGAAGACAUUGGACUUUGAUCAUUUACUCAUAUGUGUCUUUUAUUUGUUUCAGGAGGUUCACAGAGAUUAGUUGCAACAAGAAAACGCUAUGCAUGGUGUCAGAGAUUUGCCGUAGAAGCAGAGCUUCUUCUUCUUCUUCUUCUUCUUCUUCUUCUUCUUCUUCUUCUUCUUCUUCUUCUUCUUCUUCUUCUUCUUCUUCUUCUUCUUCUUCUUCUUCUUCUUCUUCUUCUUCUUCUUCUUCUUCUUCUUCUUCUUCUUCUUCUUCUUCUUCUUCUUCUUCUUCUUCUUCUUCUUCUUCUUCUUCUUCUUCUUAAUGGAAUUUCACCUAAAAAAAAAAAAAAAAAAAAAAAAAAAAAAAAAAAAAGAGUCCAAACUGCAUUGUCGUCAAUUUUUCUGAAAAACAAAGAGUAAAGUGUGAAGAGAGAGAAAAGUAGGAAAGAGGAAAAGAGUAAAGUGUGAGAAAAAAGCAAAGAGAGAAGAGAGGAAAAAGAAGAAAGUUUAAGGAAAGAACAAAGAGAAAAAGAACAAAGUGUGGAAAAAGAACAAAGUGUGAAAAUAGCAAAGUAAGAGGAAAGAGGAAAAUAGGAAAGUGUGAAAAUAGCAAAGUGUGAAAAAAGAGGAAAGAGAGUAAAGAGGAAAAAGAACAAAGUGUGAAAAUAGCAAAGUGUGAGAAAAGAGCAAAGUGUGAGAAAAUAGCAAAGUGUGAGAAAAUAGCAAAGUAAGAGGAAAAUAGCAAAGUGUGAGAAAAGAGGAAAAAGAACAAAGUGUGAAAAUAGCAAAGUAAGAGGAAAGAGGAAAAAGAACAAAGUGCUGCUUUACUCUUGUGUUUGUUUGUUUCAGAUGCUGAGAGAUCAAGUGGUGGAUGUUCAUAGAGGAGAGGUGAGUUAUACAUUGUCACACAUUGCACACAGUAGACUUUAGUAUCAAACCAAGAGUUGUAGUAUGACCAGCAGGAGACAAUUGAAGGCUUCAAUGAUUUUGGUGACGCUAAAGUAAACAAGAGUGAAGUUAAUGAAUUUAUUACUAAUAAAACAUACUAAGAU